rnacentral:tRNA from 1 species
GCAUUGGUAGUUCAAUGGUAGAAUUCUUACCUCGCAUGUGAGAGACCGAGGUUUGACUCAUGGCCAGUGCA